AACAGGUCCAAAAUAACAAAUAAAUAAAUUAAAAACAAAUAAAUAAAACUCUGCACUAAUCAAAACAGCCCAUUGUGUGUUCUGCAUUGUGGGUUGGUUUCCAUGCCAGCUCAUUUUGACUUUUUUCUGACCUCCAGAACGCAUUAAUUGGUUUUCAAUGCACUCCUAAUGGAAACCACAUUUUGGUUUACAAAUUUUUCGCAAUAAGAAACGUCCCAGAGAACGCAUUAAAUUCGUAAACCAAGGUCCCACUGUAUUAAGUUUGCCAUAUGUAGAUCAUUUUACAAUGUAGAAAUACAGCAAUAUUGAAAGCCACCAUGUUUCCACCAAAAAGGGUGGACUAUGAUUAUUUUAAGUUAAGACAAAACAAAAGUAAUUUUUCAUAACGCUUUACUAAAUAUGAUUUAAUUUCUUUAUUUGAUUUCUUCAUACUAAAAUAUAUAUUUUUUUUAAAAAAGACAAGAAUUCUGAUGUAGUGACACCAAACCCACGCAGCAAUGAGAUUAGUCAUGAUGACCAAGUAUGAAGCUGCUUCAUCACGCAUCUUAGAAAUGAAACAAAAUCUUAGCAAAUAUUAACUCUCCUAAAUGUUGCAUGAAAACUUUUUCCGUAUAUAGUAUGCGUCUUGCACAGGUUAAUACACCUGCACAAACCAUAUUUACAUAGUUACGUAACUGAUGAUGAGAAAGAAAAGAAAAAUGAACAACUCCUACAUUAUCAGCAUUUUUCCAGAGCCCAUUGAUGACUCAGAAGUAAAAGACCUAGUGGAAGAGAACUUAUUAAACCAGGAUUUGCAUGUAGUAUGGAUUUAGAGAUUUUUUUGAUAUGUUGCUUGUGAAAUUAUUUUAGGAUAUCAUGCUGCUGUAAAGAGAGGAUUGAAUUUAAUAUUAAGGUUUUCAUAGGUAGGAAAACUGGAGUCACUUAUACCAUAGAAAAUAGGUCUUCCACAAGUCAGCUUGGAGUCAGCUACUGUAAAUGCUAGAAAACGAUGUGGAGGGGGUAUACAGGUAUUGCAAUGGUCUUUAUGAGACUAACAUAACAGGUGGUAAAUACCCUUUAGAAGAGUUUAAUGUAAAACCGCAUAAUACAAUUACAAAAAAAUUUCACAAAAUUGAAAUUUUACUAAUCAAAAAUUAUUGUGUAUCAAUCGAAUUGGAGAUCGCAAUGAGUAUAUCCCAAAUGUAUUCUUCACAGUAAAGUAUGAGUAAUUAAGGGAGUUUAAAAUCUCCCUCGUGCCUCUACUUGCUAUAUAGCAGGGUGUGUCUACUAAAUAGCGAGUUAAAAUAAUUAACAGGGGGGACACGGCCCUUACCUGUGCCCCGCAAGUGGGGGUAUUAAACUAAACUGGAGACUUAGUGUCUCCCCCCCGGCCUUCACCCAUUAGCGGUGAGUGAAAGCCCUAAGUGACAAAUGGGGGGGGGACUUUUUGUCUCCCCUCCUGUAAUUCCCCCCCCUAUCACUUGAGG